AUAUUAUAGACAAUGACGUGGAUGGAGAGACUGUUGACAUCGGAAUGACUGAGUCUAUGAUUUCAUUCCUCUUUGAGGGAUCAUUUAAAAAAACAAGCAAAAUUCCAUGGAUUUGUUCAGCAGAUGAAGGAGACAGUGACAUUAACUCUUGAACCUGUGCCUGAAAGCCAGUCAAGAGCUGGAGCAAGGUUACCACAGUGUAUGAAUUGACGACUAAGAUGAUCAAGUAAAGGUAAUAUCAGCCCGUCAACAGCUUUCCCUGAAUUUUUUGAAGUUCUGAAGUUCCCAUUUGAAGUUCAGGCCAAGUUGGACCGAAAAGAAUGCAGACUAACGUCAUCAGACCGAAACAAAAUUAUUAGAACGUUGUAUGAAAGCGUGGCUCAGUACAAAAUCACACUUGGCACGUCUCUGAAACGCAAGUUUAAAUUUGAGCGGACACCUUUGGCUGAUGUUGAAGAAGUGAAAAGACUUUGGUCAUUCAAAAAAAGUCUGCAACCUGAAGAAAGCAGUUGCAAAGAAAUUACAAGGCCUUUGGAGAAUAAUGCUGUUGGAGAGGAUGCUACAUCAAUAGAGGGACAUGUGAAAGUCCUGCAGGACCAAUAUAGAAGGACACAGUCAGAGACUCACAUUGUUGAAUAUCGAAUGAGGAGGAACUUUGCCUGGAGGCGGCAGGAGAUUACUAGUGGUAUGACUGUUGAAGAUGUCAACAAAUAUCCAUCAGGGCCUUAUCAAGAAAUUGGUUUCCUGUAUAAAUGUGUUCAACUGAGCCGCCACUUUCGAGAACAUUUUGGACACAUUACAUCCAGCGUGCUACGGCUUGCUCAAGGGAAAUCCCCUUUAGCAAAGCUGCACAAAGAAGCUAGAGAAGAAUCUCUCAUUGAAGACCAUCUUGUGACUCCUAAACUUUUAUUUAGCACUUUAUUAAGCCUAUCAAAUUCUUGCCUUUGAUAGAGUUUUACAUAUUUGUUUGUGUAUCACAUUUUAUGUUCCAGGAAUUGAUUUUAAAGCAGCACUUCUCGUGUUGCCAGCCUUGUUCAGAGAAAAACUUGAACAUUUCAUUGUGCUUGGAGAGGUGCGUAUAUAGUACUCUGUUUUAAAUUUCUGUGCAAUUCUUAAACUGUUUUUUGGCCAAAUGCAAAUGGGUGAAUAUUAAUUAUCUUAGUCUUUAUGCAUGUCAAUUUUCUCUCCAUCAGUUUAGUCAACUGCUGAGAAAAUUUUACUGAUACAGAAUCUGUUUUUUGCUUUGUCAUUUAGAGUGAACCAUCUUCACCAUAUCAUACUGUUCAAGUAGAGGAGACCACUGACUGGAAAACUGUGUUUACAAGAAGAGUCACUGCAGUCAUCAGAGUUGAUGGGAUCGAGAUAGACGAACGGUGUGGAUGAAGGGGCUCUUGCAGCAUUUUGUGCUUAUUUCGUCUUCAAUUUGACAUAUCCAUCCCAUUUGAAGAACACCCUGGUGUUUCUUCAGUGGUAUGUUUUGAGAGUUACUGUGGAUGGUGACAAGCCUCUACCUACCCCAGUUACCAGAAUAAUCAACCUUCUUAACUCAACAUUCUUAACAUAGACACAGACUGGUUAUUGUGUGGCAAGCUUUUAAUUCCUGGGGUUUUUUUGUCGUCAUUUUUACUCAUACUGUGUGAAAUGAGAAUGAAUGGACUGUCCUCUUGCCAGGUGAAGAGGUUGAUUACCAGGCAUUAGAUACCUACAAUGUUGAUGACAAGUUAUUUAUUAGCACUAGAUAUUCUUGCUGAAGACAAACUGCUGCAAACUUCAAAAUGUGCAGUACUUGAUGUAGCCUGUGUAAUAAGGCUGCUUUACUUGUUUGAGUUUUUCAUUGAAGAGCUAGUUUUUUCUUGACACGCUGUUGUGAGAUGUAAUGAAAUCUUUUUAAAAGAACAUUUCUAAAUAAAAUUGUGUAUUUGUCAGCCA
ensembl:lncRNA